CUGUUUUCUCAAUGAUAACUUGGCAGAAGAAGAGAGAGGCUGCCAGGUUCUCCUCGGGUGGUUACGUGACAAAUGUCUUCCAUGCUGUUUGUCACCACUCCACAUGCCAGUUCAGGCAGCCGAGUGGUUUCUUUCCCCAGGAGUGAGAUGUUUGAGCAACUAGCAAAGAGAAGAGGCAGCGUACCCAAGAGCUCUGGAGUUUGAAUAGAUCCUUUCUAAGCCCAGAUUCUCUAAAUCCAGCUCUGCCUAGGAACCGCUCUCUGUUUCUGUUGCUUAUUCAAGUUCAAACUCCGCAGUUAAUAUUGUUGGAGCAUGUUCAGUUUCACUUCCCAACCAAACCAAAGGGCAUAAAAAUGCUUACUAAGGUAGAUGGAAGACAUAGAAGGCAAUGCCCUAAACUUUACUCGUGCUUAGACCUUGUAAAUCCAAUUAAACCUCCUCAACAAUA